CAAGGUGUUAAAUCGUCAGGAUGAGAACCGUAGAGGUUCGAGUCUCGCGAAGCGAGACAACAUCACUCCGGUGGUGGCCCGAAGGGCGAGUUAUCCUACACGACCCACCA
rnacentral:sRNA from 1 species